rnacentral:rRNA from 1 species
CCUACGGGCGGCAGCAGUGGGGGAUAUUGCACAAUGGGGGAAACCCUGAUGCAGCGACGCCGCGUGUAGGAAGACGGUCCUCUGGAUUGUAAACUACUGUCCCCAGGGACGAAGAUGACGGUACCUGGGGAGGAAGCCCCGGCUAACUACGUGCCAGCAGCCGCGGUAAUACGUAGGGGGCAAGCGUUGUCCGGAAUGACUGGGCGUAAAGGGAGUGUAGGCGGCUCAUCAAGUUAGAUGUGAAAUCCCGCGGCUUAACCGCGGAACUGCAUCUAAAACUGGUAAGCUGGAGUGCAGGAGAGGUGAGUGGAAUUCCUAGUGUAGCGGUGGAAUGCGUAGAUAUUAGGAGGAACACCAGAGGCGAAGGCGACUCACUGGACUGUAACUGACGCUGAGGCUCGAAAGCGUGGGGAGCAAACAGGAUUAGAUACCCCAGUAGUC